rnacentral:rRNA from 1 species
CGUAGGGGAACCUGCGGAGGGAUCAUUACACAAUACAAUAUGAAGGCUGUCCGCAGCUGGAGUAUUUUAUUACCCUUGUCUUUUGCGCACUUGUUGUUUCCUGGGCGGGUUCGCUCGCCACCAGGACCACCAAAUAAACCUUUUUUAUGCAGUUGCAAUCAGCGUCAGUACAAACAAUGUAAAUCAUUUACAACUUUCAACAACGGAUCUCUUGGUUCUGGCAUCGAUGAAGAACGCAGCGAAAUGCGAUACGUAGUGUGAAUUGCAGAAUUCAGUGAAUCAUCGAAUCUUUGAACGCACAUUGCGCCCUUUGGUAUUCCAAAGGGCAUGCCUGUUCGAGCGUCAUUUGUACCCUCAAGCUUUGCUUGGUGUUGGGCGUUUUUGUCUUUGGUCGCCCAAAGACUCGCCUUAAAGUGAUUGGCAGCCGGCCUUUCUGGUUUCGCAGCGCAGCACAUUUUUGCGCUUGCCAUCAGCAAAACGGCAAUCCAUCAAGCCUCCUUCUCACGUUUGACCUCGGAUCAGGUAGGGAUACCCGCUGAACUUAAGCAUAUCAAUAGCCGG